rnacentral:rRNA from 2 species
GUGACUGCGUACCUUUUGUAUAAUGGGUCAGCGACUUAUAUUCUGUAGCAAGGUUAACCGAAUAGGGGAGCCGAAGGGAAACCGAGUCUUAACUGGGCGUUAAGUUGCAGGGUAUAGACCCGAAACCCGGUGAUCUAGCCAUGGGCAGGUUGAAGGUUGGGUAACACUAACUGGAGGACCGAACCGACUAAUGUUGAAAAAUUAGCGGAUGACUUGUGGCUGGGGGUGAAAGGCCAAUCAAACCGGGAGAUAGCUGGUUCUCCCCGAAAGCUAUUUAGGUAGCGCCUCGUGAAUUCAUCUCCGGGGGUAGAGCACUGUUUCGGCAAGGGGGUCAUCCCGACUUACCAACCCGAUGCAAACUGCGAAUACCGGAGAAUGUUAUCACGGGAGACACACGGCGGGUGCUAACGUCCGUCGUGAAGAGGGAAACAACCCAGACCGCCAGCUAAGGUCCCAAAGUCAUGGUUAAGUGGGAAACGAUGUGGGAAGGCCCAGACAGCCAGGAUGUUGGCUUAGAAGCAGCCAUCAUUUAAAGAAAGCGUAAUAGCUCACUGGUCGAGUCGGCCUGCGCGGAAGAUGUAACGGGGCUAAACCAUGCACCGAAGCUGCGGCAGCGACGCUUAUGCGUUGUUGGGUAGGGGAGCGUUCUGUAAGCCUGUGAAGGUGUGCUGUGAGGCAUGCUGGAGGUAUCAGAAGUGCGAAUGCUGACAUAAGUAACGAUAAAGCGGGUGAAAAGCCCGCUCGCCGGAAGACCAAGGGUUCCUGUCCAACGUUAAUCGGGGCAGGGUGAGUCGACCCCUAAGGCGAGGCCGAAAGGCGUAGUCGAUGGGAAACAGGUUAAUAUUCCUGUACUUGGUGUUACUGCGAAGGGGGGACGGAGAAGGCUAUGUUGGCCGGGCGACGGUUGUCCCGGUUUAAGCGUGUAGGCUGGUUUUCCAGGCAAAUCCGGAAAAUCAAGGCUGAGGCGUGAUGACGAGGCACUACGGUGCUGAAGCAACAAAUGCCCUGCUUCCAGGAAAAGCCUCUAAGCAUCAGGUAACAUCAAAUCGUACCCCAAACCGACACAGGUGGUCAGGUAGAGAAUACCAAGGCGCUUGAGAGAACUCGGGUGAAGGAACUAGGCAAAAUGGUGCCGUAACUUCGGGAGAAGGCACGCUGAUAUGUAGGUGAAGUCCCUCGCGGAUGGAGCUGAAAUCAGUCGAAGAUACCAGCUGGCUGCAACUGUUUAUUAAAAACACAGCACUGUGCAAACACGAAAGUGGACGUAUACGGUGUGACGCCUGCCCGGUGCCGGAAGGUUAAUUGAUGGGGUCAGCGCAAGCGAAGCUCUUGAUCGAAGCCCCGGUAAACGGCGGCCGUAACUAUAACGGUCCUAAGGUAGCGAAAUUCCUUGUCGGGUAAGUUCCGACCUGCACGAAUGGCGUAAUGAUGGCCAGGCUGUCUCCACCCGAGACUCAGUGAAAUUGAACUCGCUGUGAAGAUGCAGUGUACCCGCGGCAAGACGGAAAGACCCCGUGAACCUUUACUAUAGCUUGACACUGAACAUUGAGCCUUGAUGUGUAGGAUAGGUGGGAGGCUUAGAAGUGUGGACGCCAGUCUGCAUGGAGCCGACCUUGAAAUACCACCCUUUAAUGUUUGAUGUUCUAACGUUGACCCGUAAUCCGGGUUGCGGACAGUGUCUGGUGGGUAGUUUGACUGGGGCGGUCUCCUCCUAAAGAGUAACGGAGGAGCACGAAGGUUGGCUAAUCCUGGUCGGACAUCAGGAGGUUAGUGCAAUGGCAUAAGCCAGCUUGACUGCGAGCGUGACGGCGCGAGCAGGUGCGAAAGCAGGUCAUAGUGAUCCGGUGGUUCUGAAUGGAAGGGCCAUCGCUCAACGGAUAAAAGGUACUCCGGGGAUAACAGGCUGAUACCGCCCAAGAGUUCAUAUCGACGGCGGUGUUUGGCACCUCGAUGUCGGCUCAUCACAUCCUGGGGCUGAAGUAGGUCCCAAGGGUAUGGCUGUUCGCCAUUUAAAGUGGUACGCGAGCUGGGUUUAGAACGUCGUGAGACAGUUCGGUCCCUAUCUGCCGUGGGCGCUGGAGAACUGAGGGGGGCUGCUCCUAGUACGAGAGGACCGGAGUGGACGCAUCACUGGUGUUCGGGUUGUCAUGCCAAUGGCACUGCCCGGUAGCUAAAUGCGGAAGAGAUAAGUGCUGAAAGCAUCUAAGCACGAAACUUGCCCCGAGAUGAGUUCUCCCUGACUCCUUGAGAGUCCUGAAGGAACGUUGAAGACGACGACGUUGAUAGGCCGGGUGUGUAAGCGCAGCGAUGCGUUGAGCUAACCGGUACUAAUGAACCGUGAGGCUUAACCUU